CCUACGGGAGGCUGCAGUGGGGAAUAUUGGACAAUGGGCGAAAGCCUGAUCCAGCCAUGCCGCGUGUGUGAAGAAGGCCUUCGGGUUGUAAAGCACUUUCAGUGGGGAAGAAAGCCUUGGGGCUAAUACCCUCGAGGAAGGACAUCACCCACAGAAGAAGCACCGGCUAACUCCGUGCCAGCAGCCGCGGUAAUACGGAGGGUGCGAGCGUUAAUCGGAAUUACUGGGCGUAAAGCGCGCGUAGGCGGUCUGAUAAGCCGGUUGUGAAAGCCCCGGGCUCAACCUGGGAACGGCAUCCGGAACUGUCAGGCUAGAGUGCAGGAAAGGAAGGUAGAAUUCCCGGUGUAGCGGUGAAAUGCGUAGAGAUCGGGAGGAAUACCAGUGGCGAAGGCGGCCUUCUGGACUGACACUGACGCUGAGGUGCGAAAGCGUGGGUAGCAAACAGGAUUAGAUACCCGUGUAGUC
rnacentral:rRNA from 1 species